UUUGUGUAUCUUCUCCUUUACCCUCCUCUCAAAUGCACCCUAAGGGUGUGUCUGAGGAGAAGGGGAUUGGGGAGAUAGGGAAG
rnacentral:pre_miRNA from 1 species